rnacentral:tRNA from 1 species
GAGGGUAUAGCUCAGUGGUAGAACAUGUGCUUAGCAUGCAUGAGGUCAUGGUUUCAAUCCCCAGUACCUCCU